UGGCGGACGGGUGAGAAACACGUGGGUAACCUGCCUCAUAGAGGGGAAUAGCCUUCCGAAAGGAAGAUUAAUACCGCAUAAGAUUGUAGUGCCGCAUGGCAUAGCAAUUAAAGGAGUUAUCCGCUAUGAGAUGGACCCGCGUCGCAUUAGCUAGUUGGUGAGGUAACGGCUCACCAAGGCGACGAUGCGUAGCCGACCUGAGAGGGUGAUCGGCCACAUUGGGACUGAGACACGGCCCAGACUCCUACGGGAGGCAGCAGUGGGGAAUAUUGCACAAUGGGGGAAACCCUGAUGCAGCAACGCCGCGUGAGUGAUGACGGUCUUCGGAUUGUAAAGCUCUGUCUUCAGGGACGAUAAUGACGGUACCUGAGGAGGAAGCCACGGCUAACUACGUGCCAGCAGCCGCGGUAAU
rnacentral:rRNA from 1 species